rnacentral:lncRNA from 1 species
AGCUGGUUCAAUCUGCAUUUUGGUUGGAUGAGAAGUCCUCCCAUCAGACCGGCAUAAGGCAUUUAAUCCUGCUUUCUGAGAUUUCAUGGUUGCCGACUCCUCUUCCUUUCCAAAUGAGUUUGCAAGCCCUUACUUUAGCAUCAAUUUAUUGCUAUUGGUGGCCAACCUAAUACCGAAGCAGGCGAAUCUGUAAAGGUUGGUGUUUAACA